GGGCGGGUGGCGAAAUGGCAGACGCGCAACGUUGAGGUCGUUGUGGGAGUUAAAUCCCUUGCAGGUUCAAGUCCUGUUCCGCCCA
rnacentral:tRNA from 1 species